AACGAACGCUGGCGGCAUGCCUAACACAUGCAAGUCGAACGAUACCUUCGGGUCUUGUCUCGCACGGGUGCGUAACCCGUGGGAACCUUCCCUUGGGUUCGGACUAACUCCCCGAGAGGGGUGCCAAUACCGGACAAUGUCUACUACCCAAAGAUUUAUCGCCUUGGGUGGGGCUCGCGUGGGAUUAGCUAGUUGGUAGGGUAAAAACCUACCAAGGCUACGAUCCAUAGCUGGUCUGGUAGGAUGUCCAGCCACCCUGGGACUGGGACACGGCGCAGACUCCUACGGGAGGCAGCAGGGGGGAAUAUUGGACAACGGGCGAAAGCAUGAGGCAGCAAGGCCGCGUGAGUGAGGAAGGCCUUAGGGUUGUAUAGCUCUUUUACCCGGGAUGAUAAUGACAGUACCGGGAGAAUAAGCGCCGGCUAACUCCGUG
rnacentral:rRNA from 1 species